rnacentral:rRNA from 1 species
GGGGAAUAUUGCACAAUGGGGGAAACCCUGAUGCAGCGACGCCGCGUGAGUGAAGAAGUAUUUCGGUAUGUAAAGCUCUAUCAGCAGGGAAGAAAAUGACGGUACCUGACCAAGAAGCCCCGGCUAACUAC